CAUAGUGCUUCCCCUAAAUGUAAGAGUGGACAGAGGGACAGAAACAGGAAUAUUAACCACAAUGCAUUGCUUCCUAUGAGAGAAGUUUGAAGAUCUUGAUGAUCCAACUGAUUCUGUCAUCUUUGGGCCAUCUACCCAAAACAAGAUUGAAAGGUGGUGGCGUGAACUUCUUGAAAGAAUGGAGAGGUUCUUCAAGAAUCAAUUAUCAUCACUGGUUGAAGAUGGAAAUUAUUGUCCCGAUGAUGCAACCGACAGGUGAUAUGGAAAUUUACUGUCUUUUUUGCUAAAUCUUGAGUAAUUUUAUGAUUCCAUAAUGACCCAAAUAUUAUCCUUUACAGUACUCCUUUAUGGUGCAUUGGGUCGUUCCAGAAAAGAUCCACACUCCCCUCACGGAGGAAAUUUCUGCUGUCUGGAGGGGGAGGGGAGAAAAAAUUGUUUCUGAUAAUAGUAAAUGUAUUAGGGCAUCCAAAGGGGGUGGGGGGGGGGCGGGUGUUAACUUCCAAUUUCCUCCGUGGGGUUGGUAUGGAUGUUUUCUGGAAUGACCCAUUGCAUUUUUAAAAAGGUCCUAUACUGUACCAAAUUUGUUGAACAGUUAGAAGGCAUAGAACUGCAAAUGUUAUAUCUAUCUAGGAACCUUUUGGCGUAUAUAUAUAUCCCUGUUCUGCAAAAAGAGUUGGACACAUUUCGAGUAUCAGUGUGGAAUAAUCACCGAAUGCGUAAGCAACGAGACAAAGAACUACCUACUGGGGUACCAGAACACAUUUACCACUACCCAGAUGAAUAUGGAGGAGAAAGGUGUGGGCUUGCCCUCACAGAUGAACAACUCCAAGAAGUGGCAGCAGUAUCAAGUGUUCUUGAUGGAACUAAUGACUAUUUAGAUGAAGCGUUCCGUAAUGAAUGUGAAAGACAUGUUCCUAACACUGAUGACAUUGAACCAUCACAAGCUGCAAAUGCAUACUUAUAUUUGAAAGCUAAUUUUGAUGAAGCCAUAAUGUAAAUAGUCCAGUUUUCACAUUUUACUGAUUAUUAAAAACAUUGAAUUGAAUUGAAC
rnacentral:lncRNA from 1 species